CACUGGGGAAGCUCUGCUUUAUUCCCCCCAGAAGGUUUCACAAAUCAUCACUGUCUGUGCCAUGCUGCAUAAUGUGGCAAGGGAGCAUGGAUUACCUGCAGACAUUGAUGAUGACCUGGAACCUGAGAUUGAGGGGUAUGUUGGCAGACAGAGGGACAACCAACCAGAGGGAAGAAGAGUGCGUGAAAGGCUCAUCCGUGCCCACUUUUAGUUCCUGCUGAUGGUGAUGUGCUGACGUGCCCCUAGCAGUGAAUGCUUUCCUGUAACAUCUUAUGCUCUUUCUGGCCUACUACUGUGUUAUGGUUAUACUUCACGUGUGUCAAACUCUACUUUAUUAUCUUGGUACUUGCCCACAGAGGAUACAGACAUGGACACUGACUGAUUGGCCACGCCUCAAACUCCGUUAUUCAGCCUCUCCAUGUGCAAAAUUUUCCUGAAGUACUAAAUUGGACUCCACACAAGUGACAGAUGUGAUGAACUGACAGCUGUUUGGCUCAUUUGAACCUGGGUGGAGUCACCUUUCGAAAACAUAUCAGUAUGGCUUCUUCUGUUUUCUUGUUUGAAAUGACAUUACCCAUGUUACUAUUUUGGACUAGCACCUUGUCAAAAAAGAAAAACAAACACACCCGGUAAUGUUUUAGUACCUUUACUGACACAAUAUUUGUCA